CACAUCUGAAGACUCAUAGCUGCCUAUAGAUCCAGCUCCAGGGUCAGUGGACCCCUCUGACUAUGUGAGCACCUACACUCACCUGCACAUACCUAUAACCAGAGCCUUUUUAGGAUAUACAACACACACAUAUAUGUGGGUAUCUCAAAGGUCCCAUUAAGGUAACAGAAGGACUCCAAUGCCGUGAUGAGAAUCCCAGAAACUCCAGAAUGCCAACUAAUGAAAGGCGCAAGCCAAUGAAGAAAUGCCCUUCCCUUUGGGACUGAUCCUGGGGUGGACAACUCUGAAAGUCUAUCCAAAUGUUCUUGAAGGUGCUGCCUGCCCUCCUCAGGUUCAUCCUCUGGCUCUUCUUGCACCAGCAACCUGGCUUACAGUACCACCAGCUGCUCUCCCAGCACCUGCCAGCUACACAGUGCCUGUCAGGAGACCUGCCUUGAGCCCACCAGCUCCCAGAGUUCCUGUGUGGUGUCCAGUCCCUGCCAGAAGCCCUGCUACUACCCCAGGAGCUCCACACCUUUCAGUCCCUGCCAGGGGACAUAUGCUGGGUCUCUGAGUUGUGGGUUCAGCAACUUCCAUUCUCUGGGCUAUGGAUCCAGAAGCUGCUUCUCAGGGGACUGUGGAUCCAGAGGCCUACAAUCUCUGAAUUAUGAAGUACCUAUUUUCCCUUCCUUAAGUAAUAUGUUCACUUUCUGCUACCCAACUUACUUGCUUUUCAAUACCUACCAACCUUCAUUUUGCAUUCCAACAUGUGGACCACAUCUCUCUGGAAUCAGCUGUUAACUGUGUACAUUCUACAAUAUUGAAAUCAAUGUCUCUGCAUCCUGUACCCAUUGUUUCCAUGUUCAUCACUUAUAGCUAUCCUUUCUUUCUUCUAAUAGGAACUUCUCAACUUCUGGUAGAACCUGGGAUGAGUAAUCAUGGUUAUGCCUUACCCACAGUAAUAUUGACAUAUAUGUGCUCUAUUUGGUUGUUAUCCAACAGUAUAUGACAAUGAAAAUUUAUUAAAUAAACUUGUAUAAUCUGA